CCGCGGCCCGGCCAUGGCGCCUCGCACGGCAGCGUGAGGCCGGAGCGGGGCGACCUGCGGCCUGGGGCUGCCUUAUGGCCUCGGCCGGGGCCUGGGCUGGGAGCUCGGGGCGGUGGGCUCCUCCGUAGGCGGUGCGGGAGACCCCGCCGCUGGGUUGGGGGCUGAUAAAGCGGUGGCUGCUCCCGCAGUACGGCUGUCGAGAUAACCGGGAACGGGCACUGCUGCUGGGCUGAAAUACUCCUCUACGAUCUGCCUUUGUGUGGCUGUUUUCAUGUCACUAGAAGAGGAUGAGCUUUCAGCUGAGGAGGUGUAAUGUGGGUGGAUUCCAGUGCUCUCAACGUGCAGUAGAGUGUGUGUAAACAAGCCUAGCAGGCUGGCUGGGUUAAAACUACCUUUCUCCUUGAGAAGGGAGGAAAAAACCGUGUGAAAUUAUUGCUGUGUUCCCCGUUCCUGAUGUUUGUUUUUGUAACAAGGCAUUAGAGGAGUGGACAGGAAAACACAGUAUAUGCAGGACACUGAUUGCCUGUGGCUAGCAGGGUCUGAGGCAGGAUGCUCUUGCAGCCUGUGCUGCUGGGGACAUGUUGGGUUGGGAAAGACAACCUCCUUCAAUUUGACCUUUCUCUGUAGUUUGUGAUUGAGUCUGCUGCCUUGUAGCUGUCAUCGUUGAAGCUGCUCAGUAAUAACUGCUGGUGGUAGAGAGAUCUCUUGCACAUGCAGUGUAAGUUCUGCUUUUAGUGAAUGUCACAAUGUGUAUGUGCCUUCCUGGCUUAGGGGGCUUAAGCUGGCAUCUGCCUUCUUGGUCAUUAAAAGUCUUCAGAUGAAAUUAAAACCCUGUAUCUUCAGGUACUAAUGGCCCAUGUUUUCAGCCUAGUGUAAUUUUGCUUGGGAAUGCAAAAUCAGCUGAGAUCUAAAGCUACUAGAGUGGAUGAUACUUUAAUUUUAGUGCUGCUAAAUUGUCAUACUCUAGUAGCUAUUAUAAAGUUUCAGGAUGCAUCUGUAUGGCUGGAGGAAUAAGCUGAAAUGUAAGUUAGGUUUGGGUUCUGUGUGAGGAUGAAUUGGAACUAGCUGCCUUCUGUUACAUUAUGCUGUCAUAAUCAGGACCUCAGCUGCCCUCUCAGCAGAAAGAGGGGUACAACUUUUCACCUUGCUGCUGGACUGGCUUAGGUGAUGAUGGAAAGCUUUUCACUGCAGCAACCAGUAAGGCACACAGUGUGACAAUAUGGAACUGCACUACUGCAGCAGCAGCAUGACAGUGAAUGAUUCAGAGCAUUAGCUGAAAAACCAAGAAAUACCCAGGAUACUGACUGAGGAGACCGAGAACAGGCAUGUUUGUUGAAAACUUCUGCAGCAGGAGAAGUGGAUUUGCAGAUCUAUUCCAUGCAUUAGCUCUGAGCAGCUGAUUUUUCUGUAGGGUUUUUAAUUUAAACUAAAUUCAGGAUCCUAGUCCAAAGGUACUGGACUAGCUUGAUGUUGAUGUCUGUUACUGUGUAAAUAAAAUAACCACGUCUUUGAAUAGCACUUAUUAGUGUAUUAGUUUGACUAGUGACUUACACGCUUUUUCUUUCUGCUCAUACAAUGAAGGCCUUGAUUGUCAUGUAUUGAGUGCGCUCUAAUACAGUGCUGAACAGACCAAAUCAAACAGAACAGUGUCUGAUCUUUGUAGGACAGAUGGCUGUGAUCCAGGUAGGCAUGUGUUGCCAGAGUUGUUUUUUUUAAAGCAUAUUUAUUUUUAGCUGGCUUGUGAAAGUCAACUUCAAAACAGUAAGUGGUCUUCUGUUUUUCAUCUGGUGAAAUAAAUAGCACAGUAUAAAUUGUGGUUUUGAGCUAUAAAGGAAAUAUGUUGCUUUGUUUUUGUUCUUUUUCCCCCCCUUUGGUAUUGCAAUACCAAUUGCUCUGCUGAAGACCAUUUCAGUAAGUACAACACCAUGUAAGGUUACUAUUGCAACUUUUUGAUGUGAGGAUGGAGAAGCCCUCGUCUUCUUGGUGAAGUCAGGAGGAGGGUGGAAAAACUGUUACCUCAGACUUCUGGAGUGUGGAUCUCGAACUGUUUGAGAUAGUGAUAUGGAGGGUCUCUUGGGAUUUAGUCCUGAAGGGUAAAAGGGUCUAGGAAGGCUGGGUUGUUCAGGCUACUAUCCACCAUCUAUCAGUGUUCCUGUUCAAUUGCAGAGUCCUGGAGGACUGGAGGCUUGCCAGUGUGAUUCCCACAUACAAAGAUGGUCAUAAGGAGGAUCUGGAGAACUACAGGCCUAUCAGCCUGUACCAGGAGAGGUUAUGGAGCAGGUCAUAUCGAGUGUGAUCACGUGGCAUGUGUGGGACAGCUGGGGGAUCGGACCCAGCUUGCUUGACCAACCUGAUCUCCUUCUAUGAUCUAGUGACUUGCCUGGUGGAUGAGGAAAGGCUGUUGAAGUAGUCUGUCUAGACUUCAGCAAAGCCUUUGACACUGUCUCCCAUAGUAUUCCGAGGAAGUUGGCAGCCCAUGGCUUAGGUGGGUACACUCUUUGAGUAAAGAAUUAGCUGGAUGGCCAGGCUUGGAGGGCGAUGGUGGAUGGAGCUAAAUCUAGCUGGCAACCAGUCACAAGUGGUAUUCCCUAGUGGUCAGUAUUGAGGCCUAUGCUGUUCAAUACUUUCAUUGAUGACCUGGAUGAGAGCAUUGAGUGCAUCCUUAGUAAGUUUGCAAAUGGCACCAGGUUGGAAAGAAGUGUUGAUCUGCCUGGGGUAGGAAGGAUCUGGACAGGCUGGAUAACUGGGCUAACGCCGUCCCUGGAGCUGUUAAAGACACACUUAGAUGUUGUACUGAAGGGCAUGAUUUUAGUGGGAAAUAUAAGUGAUAGAUAGGUGGUUGGACUGGAUGAUCUUGGUGAUCUUUUCCAACCUUGGUGAUUCUAUGAUUCUGGUCCUUAGAUUCUUACACUAAUAGAAUCUACACUAGAUUCUUACUUGACAAUAUUUGUUAUAAAAACAUAUCAUACCAACUAAAGACAGGUCUAUGUCAAGCUCUUUAACUAUUUCUUGAGAAUCUAGCUCAAGUCCUGUUGUAGGAGGAUCUUCUGGAACUCAUAGGAGCAUGCCUUGUCUUCAUGAACAAUCUUGAAAGCAGUGCUAUUAGCUAGUGUAUAGCAGCUUUGCUCUAAAAGUCAUGGAAAGGAGGGUAGGUCUUAAGUAGUUUUAAGCCACCUCUAGAUCUGGGGGGGGAUAAAAAAUAAAAUAAAAUAGGGGACACUGUUUUUUUUAAUGGGUCUAAGUUGCAGUAUCCCUAAGGCUGAGUAAGUCUGACAAACUACUCAACAGGAGCUACUGGCUAUUCUGUGGCUGUUGUGGGAUUCUGAAGAAUGUGAAUGUUACUGCUCCAGUAUAACUGGAAAUUUGAAGAGACUUUUCUUCUACUUAAGUAGUUAGUGCAGAAAUAUGUAUAUUAUGUUAUCUGCAUAGUUAUAUGUAGGGAUAUUACAGUCAGUAGCUCACAAAGCAUAUUAAAACUUUUUGCCUAGUAAAACCAUCAGCAGCAACUAAUUGUAGGUAGGGGUUGGGGGGAGGUUGUGCCUGUUUGGCCAUAGCUGGUAGAUAUGAACCAAUGAUGCUAAAGCAGCAACUUAAUUUCAUGCCUCUUUCAGUCAUUCUUAAUGAGAAAAUAAUAAUUUGACCUUACAUUACACUAUGCCAGAGCAUAUGGUGGUUUUACGUUGCAGCUGUGUGAAGGGAAAGAGAAGGAACUAUCAAAAGAAACGCUUGACAUUUCAAAGGAGGCUCUGGCUUGAACACUCAGGAAUAACUAUCUAGAUUUACUAAUUCUUUGCCUGAAUGUGUUCUCUUUAAAAUGAGCCCCUGCUUUUAGUUUUGGCUGCUGGGGGUGCAACCUGAAACAUGAAGCAAUCUGUUUUUUUCCAGUCUAAUCCUAAGGUUUAUACUGCUCUGAGCCUGCUGACUGUGACGUGCCUAGUUUAGUUGCUCAGGAUACUGGUGAACCUUGCCAGGGAAUGACAAAACCUGUCGGGCAAAAAACCCACAAAAACUAGUAAGAUGAAUAUGCUAAUUAUCAUAAAGCAGUUCUGGGUUCAAGACAGUUACCAAAAGUUAACUUCUGUCUGUAGUUGACAUUGAUGGUGUUCAUGGUUACUGUGCUAUUAGGAUCCUACUGCUUUAGUCUACAGAAUGAACGAUAUUGCAGCUUUGUGUCUUAGUACUGUAGAAUAGAAAGGUCUGCAGAGCUUAAUCAUAGAAUCACAGGGUUGGAAAGGACCUACAAGAUUAUCUAGUCCAGCCAUCCUCCUUUACCAUACCUACAGAAAACCACUAAGCUGUAUCUCCUACCUCCUUAUCCAGAUGCCACGUAGCUGAAGUCAGCCUUGUUUUAAAUCCAGGCUUAUAGAUAUGGUCAGAUUUGCUUCAGUGUUUUACUUACUUUUUGGUGUGUAGGAUACCUACAGUAGGCCUGGAUGCCAAGUGGGUGUAAGGUAGAGUUGUAGAGUUUGGCUUUGAUCAGAUGAGUGAUUCUUAGAAAGCAUGUAUGUCCUAAAAUAUUCACUCCUGCUGCAUUUGGUGAAGUACAUAGCAAAAAGCUUAAGCUUGUAGUGACCUGAAGUUUAAAGCCUGCUUGCUUUUGUUCUUGUUUUUCUCAUAAUUGUAGGAACUGGGCAGGUUGCUGCUUAUGUUUAGUCUGGAAGGAAACAAACCACUGAUGAGGUGUCUACAAUAACAGUGGACUGCUGGAGCUGGCUUUUUUUGUAAUAAAGAAUGGGGGCACUCACAUUAAGGAAACUGUAAUACUUUUUCUUCACCUUGGAUGCUGCUUGCUGUAGUACCCUGGAGUUGUCAUUGGCUGCGUGCAAAUGUAGUUGGUGGUGUAGCUUCUUGACAAAGAUUGCAGUUAGUAUGGCAAGAUGAUAGAUAGAAAGCUUGAAUUUAGCUUCUGAGAGUCAAGGCCACAAACUUCUAUCACGAGUGAGCUGAGUGCUUUCUUUCAUUCUAUUUUAAUGGAAAUAGUGUAGUAUCAAGGCUACCACAACCUGCUUGAAAAGACAACAUCAAAGUAGAUGCUAUGGCAACAGUGUGUUAAGAGACAUGAGCAAUGCUGUGCUGCUGAUUAGUGCAAUAUUGGCAUAUGAGAAAAUGAAUCAAAUCUGCUUCGAGCUGUCCUAGUUAGCCAUGGUUGUGGAGUUCCAGCAGCCAUAGAGGUGGGUUAGGCUGUGGUGAUGUGCUGAGUCAGUCUUGUGGAGUGUCAGCCUGCUCUUUGGAGGAGCCCAAAUGCUAUUUAGUUGAAUUUAUGUCUGGCAAUAAAUUCAUAGGGAUAAGUCUGGCUAUUUGCAAGGCUGUUUACUAACCAGAUGAGUUAAUUGAAUCCAGAUAAUAGAGCACUGAAAUGAUUUGAGUAGUUGAUAAUACUAAACUACCUCAGUUGUUUUCCUGCAUUUCAAUUAAUUUCUAUACCAGAAUGGCUACACUGGAGUACUGUUGCAUAUGAAGUUAAAGCAUAGCGUUGGCUUGUACUCCUUUACUAGCAGUCCAUGUUCUCAAGGCUCUUCAGUUGCCUUUGAACACCAUUUAAGAAACUUCUAACUGGGCAUAUCAUGGGAAUUAACCAUAGUAGCAACUAGAAGACUAUUCCUUGGUCAUUCAAGCUGCAGUCUUAGAAUUGUCAUUUGCUUCUGAAGUGAUUCUCCUGAGCCUGGAAUUAGACUUUGUAGUUUGAAUGUUAUAAACAUAGCUGAAGCAGUUUCUCUGCAAAUGUGGAUUUUGCCCUAAAAUGUCUUAGUAAGCAGCUGCUGCUGUUUGCUGUCAGUUUGUUAAACACCAGCCAAAUGACUUGACUGUGGGAACUUGCUUGGCUUCUGAGUGGAGGAGUGCAGGAGUGACUUAGGAUUUGGUUGUUAUCUUUAGACUUUUAACAAAGUAGCUUAACUUGGCAACAGUUCUGACAAUGCUUAUUCUAGUGUACUGACUUGGCUGUUAGUUCGCACAGCAAAAUAAAAUGGUUUUAAGUUAAAAGAGGGAAGAUUUAGUUUGGAUGUUAGGGGGAAGUUCUU